rnacentral:rRNA from 1 species
AAUGAACGCUGGCGGCAGGCCUAACACAUGCAAGUCGAACGGGUCCUUCGGGACUAGUGGCGGACGGGUGAGUAACGCGUGGGAACGUGCCCCUUGGUACGGAAUAGCCCCGGGAAACUGGGAGUAAUACCGUAUGUGGUCGAGAGACGAAAGAUUUAUCGCCAAGGGAUCGGCCCGCGUUGGAUUAGGUAGUUGGUGGGGUAAUGGCCUACCAAGCCGACGAUCCAUAGCUGGUUUGAGAGGAUGAUCAGCCACACUGGGAGUGAGACACGGCCCAGACUCCUACGGGAGGCAGCAGUGGGGAAUCUUAGACAAUGGGGGAAACCUUGAUCUAGCCAUGCCGCGUGAUCGAUGAAGGCCUUAGGGUUGUAAAGAUCUUUCAGGUGGGAAGAUAAUGACUGUACCACCAGAAGAAGCCCCGGCUAACUCCGUGCCAGCCGCCGCGGUAA